rnacentral:rRNA from 1 species
GUGGGGAAUCUUGCGCAAUGGGCGAAAGCCUGACGCAGCCAUGCCGCGUGAAUGAUGAAGGUCUUAGGAUUGUAAAAUUCUUUCACCGGGGACGAUAAUGACGGUACCCGGAGAAGAAGCCCCGGCUAACUUCGUGCCAGCAGCCGCGGUAAUACGAAGGGGGCUAGCGUUGCUCGGAAUUACUGGGCGUAAAGGGCGCGUAGGCGGAUCGUUAAGUCAGGGGUGAAAUCCCAGAGCUCAACUCUGGAACUGCCCUUGAUACUGGCGAUCUUGAGUGUGAGAGAGGUAUGUGGAACUCCGAGUGUAGAGGUGGAAUUCGUAGAUAUUCGGAAGAACACCAGUGGCGAAGGCGACAUACUGGCUCAUUACUGACGCUGAGGCGCGAAAGCGUGGGGAGCAAACAGGAUUAGAAACCCGUGUAGUCC